rnacentral:rRNA from 1 species
GACCACAGCACCGCAUGGUGCAGGGGUAAAAACUCCGGUGGUAUGAGAUGGACCCGCGUCUGAUUAGGUAGUUGGGUGGGGUAACGGCCUACCAAGCCGACGAUCAGUAGCCGACCUGAGAGGGUGACCGGCCACAUUGGGACUGAGACACGGCCCAAACUCCUACGGGAGGCAGCAGUGGGGAAUAUUGCACAAUGGGGGAAACCCUGAUGCAGCGACGCCGCGUGAGCGAUGAAGUAUUUCGGUAUGUAAAGCUCUAUCAGCAGGGAAGAAAAUGACGGUACCUGACUAAGAAGCACCGGCUAAAUACGUGCCAGCAGCCGCGGUAAUACGUAUGGUGCAAGCGUUAUCCGGAUUUACUGGGUGUAAAGGGAGCGUAGACGGAGUGGCAAGUCUGAUGUGAAAACCCGGGGCUCAACCCCGGGACUGCAUUGGAAACUGUCAAUCUGGAGUACCGGAGAGGUAAGCGGAAUUCCUAGUGUAGCGGUGAAAUGCGUAGAUAUUAGGAGGAACACCAGUGGCGAAGGCGGCUUACUGGACGGUAACUGACGUUGAGGCUCGAAAGCGUGGGGAGCAAACAGGAUUAGAUACCCUGGUAGUCCACGCCGUAAACGAUGACUACAAGGAGUCGGGCAAGCAAAGUUGUUUCGGUGCCGCAGCAAACACAAUAAGUAGUCCACCUCUGAAAUACGUUGGCAAGAAGGAAACUCAAAGGAAUUAAUGGGGGCCCGCACAAGCAGUGGAUUAUGUGGUUUAAUUCGAAGCAACGCGAAGAACCUUACCAGGUCUUAACAUCCGAUGCAUAACACAGAGAUGUGUGAAAUCCUUCGGGACAUCGAGACAGGUGGUGCAUGGUUGUCGUCAGCUCGUGUCGUGAGAUGUUGGGUUAAGUCCCGCAACGAGCGCAACCCCUAUCUUCAGUAGCCAGCAGGUGAAGCUGGGCACUCUGGAGAGACUGCCAGGGAUAACCUGGAGGAAGGUGGGGACGACGUCAAAUCAUCAUGCCCCUUAUGAUCUGGGCGACACACGUGCUACAAUGGCGGUCACAGAGUGAGGCGAACCCGCGAGGGGGAGCAAACCACAAAAAGGCCGUCCCAGUUCGGACUGUAGUCUGCAACCCGACUACACGAAGCUGGAAUCGCUAGUAAUCGCGAAUCAGAAUGUCGCGGUGAAUACGUUCCCGGGUCUUGCACACACCGCCCGUCA